UACGAAGGGGGCGAGCGUUGUUCGGAUUUACUGGGCGUAAAGGGCGCGUAGGCGGUCGUGACAAGUCACUUGUGAAAUCUCCGGGCUUAACUCGGAACGGUCAAGUGAUACUGUCGGACUAGAGUACAGAAGGGGCAACUGGAAUUCUCGGUGUAGCGGUGAAAUGCGUAGAUAUCGAGAGGAACACCUGCGGCGAAGGCGGGUUGCUGGGCUGAUACUGACGCUGAGGCGCGAAAGCCAGGGGAGCGAACGGG
rnacentral:rRNA from 1 species